ensembl:lncRNA
CCUGCAGCCGGUGCAGCUCCCCCCCGUGGGGCAUAACCUGCAGGUGGUGCAGCUCCCCCCCGUGGGGCAGCUCCCCCACACCGCUCUUCCCUGUGCCCCUGUCUGCCAGUGCGGACAGCCCAUGGUGACGGGGACACUGGUGCCCCACCAUGCGCUGGGGCUGGGGCCCAGGGCCGUGCUCCACGGGGAGCCCCUGCACCCCGCAGGCACCUGCCUGUUGCAGGCCCCCGCCCACCGCAGGCCCCCGCCACCCCUCGUCCCGGGGCCUCGGCUCCGGGGGCAGGCGCUCCCCACGCCCCGCACCGUGACCAGCAGCCAGGGGCAGCUGCCGGAGCCCUGCGACCACGCCGUGGGGCUCAGCGAGGACCAGGGGCCCCCGCUGCCUGACCCCACUCCCCCCGAGCCUUUCCUGGCUCCAUCGACCCGCAGCACCCAGACGGCGACGCCCGACGCGGCGACAGCCCCGCAGGUGCCUGAGGAGCCCCCGCAGCUGCCCGAGCUGGGCCCUGAUGCCUUCGCCGAGGCCUUUCCAGAGCUGGCAGGGGACAGCCAGCUGCUGCAGCACCUGCAGGACCAGCUCCUGGCCGACCUGGACAUCCCCGGCACGGAGGAGCUGUUCAGCUGGCUCGAGGCCGUGGAGCCCCAGGACGCCUUCCCCGAUUCGCCCAGCAGUCCUGCCCUCAGCCGCCUCCUCUCCCAGCUGCCCGACCUCUCCGAGGACAUCGAGGAGCCGAGCACGCAGGGACUGGAAGCCACAGGAGCCCUCGGUGAGGUACCCUCAACCCCUGGGGUGUACCCCGAGAAGGUUGGGGGUGGGCUGUUGGUGCAGUCCCCUAUUGUGCUGGCAUUGAGCCCCCCGCUCAGCCCUGCAGCCAGUCCCCUGCCCGGUGCCCUUAGUAGACCCCUACCCAGUCCACCCCUGAGUCCCCCCAGGAGGUCCCCUGACACCCAGGUCCUCAGUUCCCCUAGUAGACCCCUGCCCAAACCCCCCCUGAGUCCCCCCAAGAGGUCCCCUGACACCCAAGUCCUCAGUGAGCAGAGGACACCCCUGCCCACAUGCCCCCUGGGUCCCCUCAAGAGCCCCCUGGCUGCCCCUGUGUCCACCGGCACCAAGCGGGGGGCCAAGCGCCGCGCGCCCACCAGCACCCCCAGGACAGCGGAGAGCUCCCAGCCCAAGAGGCCAGCAACGGAGAAACCCCCUGGCAAGGACAGGAAGAUGCUGCUGGGCCAGGGUGUCCAAGGCCCCGAGACGCCUUGCCAGGGACGCCGUGCCAGGGACGCCAGGAUGUCCAAGGCCCCAGGACGCCGUGGCAGCAGCAGGAAAGACGGCAGCGGCAGGCAGCAGCCAGCGACCAACAACAGCCGGGCGCCCAGCAAGAGAGCCCGAAGCCCGGGGGCUGCUGGGGGGCAAGGAGCAGCGUCGCCGCCUCCCCGCAGAGCGCGGCUGCUGCCGGAGACUCCGAGCGCGGAGCCCGGUGCCGUGCGGCCCCAGGACAGCCUCUGUCCCCAAGGCGUCAGGGCCAAGACGCUGCAGCGCCAGCGCCGGGGCACAAAGACCCCCAGCGAGACUUUGCAGCCGCUGGGGGCCAGGGCGAAGGCGCUGGGGCCAGGGCGCCAGCUGCCCUGCGUGCAGCCGCAGCCCACCUCCAGCAGCCCCAGCACGAUGCCCAGCGCCGCGCAGACAGUGCCAGCUGUGCCCGCUGCCCCCCAAUCCCCAGCUGGCGGCAAAGAGAAGGUGGUGCCGGCACCACCAGGCAGCACGGCGUGAACAGGGGACGCUGCCCUAGAGCAGGCGCCCAGAGCGCUGUGCCUGCCAGCCGCGGGGGGCCAAGCGCAGCGGGGGGCUCUGCCCACACAGCCGCGCAUGCUGCAGCCCCUGGCACGGCCCCGCGUGGACUACGUGCCCUGCGUGGGGCCCUGGGCAGGCGGUGACGCGGCGCCCACGCCGCUGGAGGAGCAGGAGGAGCCGGUGCCCAUCACGCUGCAGCAGCGUCCCGAGCGGGAGCGCCUGAAGCAGCUGGCCCAGGAGGAGCGGCAGCGGGCGGCCCACCAGAUGAAGAUCGNNNNNNNNNNNNNNNNNNNNUGCCCAAUUCCCCACUGAGUCCCCUCAAGAGCCCCCUGGCUGCCCCUGUGUCCACCGGCACCAAGCGGGGGACCAAGCGCCCCGUGCCCACCAGCACCCCUGGGACAGCGGAGAGCUCUCAGCACAAGAGGCUGAUGACAGAGAAACCCCCGGCAAGGAGAGGAAGAUGCUGCUGGGCCAGGGUGUCCACGGCCACAAGAUGCCAUGCCAGGGGAAGACGGGUGGUGACAGUACCAUGGCUGGCAGGAGCAGGCAAGUGGCAGCGGCACGGAGCAGUCGGCGAUCAGCAGCACCAUGGCACCCAGCAAGAGAGCCCGAAGCCCAGGGGCUGCUGGGGGGCAAGAAGCAGCAUUGCCGCCCCCCUGCAGAGGAUCGGCCCCGUUCAAUUCUUCGUGCAGCAGCAGAAGGACCACGUCAUAGCCAAGUAUUAUGGCUACCCAUGACCCUGCACUCCUUGACGGCCCCCGCAGCACCCAGACCCGCUCAGGACGCAGGCGCAGAGACCUCUGCAGGCAUCUGCUUCAGCUUCAGCCACACUCUUCAGCCCUCUCACUUGCCCUUUCCCUUCUUUAGUGCUGUAGCUAAUUAGUGUUUCGCAUUCCUUUUUGUCACUCCUGGCAUCCCAUGCCAGCACCAGCACCACCACCUGCAUCUCUGCCCAACACUGGCAACAGCAUCCCCACCA